GAAAUGCGAUAAGUAGUGUGAAUUGCAGAAUUCAGUGAAUCAUCGAAUCUUUGAACGCACAUUGCGCCCCUUGGUAUUCCAUGGGGCAUGCCUGUUCGAGCGUCAUUUGUACCCUCAAGCUCUGCUUGGUGUUGGGUGUAUGUCCCCGUCUCCGCGCGUGGACUCGCCCCAAAGUGAUUGGCAGCCGGCGUACUGGUCCCGGAGCGCAGCACAUGUCGCGCAAACGAGUGCCUUGGUACGGCGGCGUCCAUAAGCCCCUCUCUCACGCUCUUGACCUCGGAUCAGGUAGGGAUACCCGCUGAACUUAAGC
rnacentral:misc_RNA from 1 species